AGUGAACGCUGGCGGUAGGCCUAACACAUGCAAGUCGAACGGCAGCACAGUAAGAGCUUGCUCUUACGGGUGGCGAGUGGCGGACGGGUGAGGAAUACAUCGGAAUCUACUUUUUCGUGGGGGAUAACGUAGGGAAACUUACGCUAAUACCGCAUACGACCUACGGGUGAAAGCAGGGGAUCUUCGGACCUUGCGCGAUUGAAUUAGCCGAUGACGGAUUAGCUAGUUGGCGGGUUAAAGGCCCACCAAGGCGAGGAUCCGUAGCUGGUCUGAGAGGAUGAUCAGCCACACUGGAACUGAGACACGGUCCAGACUACUACGGGAGGCAGCAGUGGGGAAUAUUGGACAAUGGGCGCAAGCCUGAUCCAGCCAUACCGCGUGGGUGAAGAAGGCCUUCGGGUUGUAAAGCCCUUUUGUUGGGAAAGAAAAGCAGCAGGUUAAUACCCCGCUGUUCUGACGGUACCCAAAGAAUAAGCACCGGCUAACUUCGUG
rnacentral:rRNA from 1 species